rnacentral:rRNA from 1 species
UCGAAACCUGCAAAGCAGAACGACCCGCGAACCCGUUUACCAACCCCCGAGGGGCGGGGCUCGCCCCGUCCCCCUCGGGGCCGAAACGUGCCUCACGGCGCGCGACGGCAAGAACCCAAACACCGGCGCGGGUUGCGCCAAGGACUACGAAAUUCUACCGCGUCCCGCGGCCCCGGGCGACCGGGCGUCGCGGCGAACGCGCGUCGAAAGAUCUAACAGAACGACUCUCGGCAACGGAUAUCUCGGCUCUCGCAUCGAUGAAGAACGUAGCGAAAUGCGAUACUUGGUGUGAAUUGCAGAAUCCCGUGAACCAUCGAGUCUUUGAACGCAAGUUGCGCCCGAAGCCAUCCGGCCGAGGGCACGUCUGCCUGGGCGUCACGCAUCGCGUCGCCCCCUCCCCCUCCAGCGCGGAGCGGGGGGAGGGGCGGAGUAUGGCCCCCCGUGCGCCCCCGCGCGCGGCCGGCCUAAACACGGAGCCCGUGGCCGCGAGCGCCGCGACGUUUGGUGGUUGAAUCUCGAGCAUCGCGUCGCGCGCAGUAGCGUACCCGGAGAAGCUCGGAGGACCCUUAGGCGCGGCAGCCUACCCUUGCGACCCC